GGAGCGUGUGGUUUAAUUCGAUGCGUACUUAGAAGAACACUGACUUGGGAUGGGACAUUUAGAGUGGUAGCAGACGUGAAAGCGGAGAGACCUUUUGGGGAGCCUAGACAGGUCCAUGCAUGACAGUCGUCUAGCUCGUCCACGUGAGGUCUCCGAGGUUAAGUCCCGUAACGAGCGAAACCCUUGCCCUCCGUUAUACGUGUCAGAGGGGACCGCCGGCGUGUAAAUCGCGCCGAAGGUCGGGAUGACCUCAAAUCAGCAUGGCCUUUAUAUCCAGGGCUACACACACGCUUCAAUGACCAGUACAAAGGCCAGCGAAUCCGCGAGGUGGAGCGAAUCCCAACAUACCUGCGUUGUACUUAGGAUUGCAGCUUGCAACCCGCAUCGCAUCGAAGCUGGACGUGCUAGUAGCCGCGCGUCAGCACUCCCCCGGUGAUACGUCUCCCAGGGUUUGACACACCGCCCGUUAUAUCAUGGGAGUCGAUUACGCCUGGAGCCGGUGGCCUAGCUCCCAAGAGACGGCCAUGUCUAAGGCACGCUUAUAGCCUGCGAUGAAGUCGAAGCA
rnacentral:rRNA from 1 species